rnacentral:tRNA from 1 species
UCCCUGGCAGUCCAGUGGUUGAGACUCUGUGCUUCCACUGCAGGGGGCAUGGGUUCAAUCCCUGUUCAGGGAU